ACUGAUCCCCAUUUUCUCCUGCAAUGAAUAUAGAAAUUCAGGCCCAAGACCUCAGACUAAUUUGCAGCAAGUUCCAUGCCCUGUGAGUCUCGGUUUUCUCAUCUGCAGAAUGGGAACACUCCCACUUAACCUCACAGGAUUAAUGCCAACUGGCCCGAGGC